rnacentral:rRNA from 2 species
GUGCGAGACCGAUAGCGAACAAGUACCGUGAGGGAAAGAUGAAAAGAACUUUGAAAAGAGAGUUAAAGAGUACCUGAAACUGCUGAAAGGGAAGCGAAUCGUAUCCAGUGUCUAUAAUCUGCGGCAUAUUUCAUUGGCGGCGGUGCGCGUGCUUUUGCGUCGGAAGCGGCUUUUGUUGCUCUGUGCUUUUGCUGUGCGUGGUGUUGCUGGUGCCCUGUGUUGCGGUGGGACGUCAGAGUCAGUUUGUAUGCUGCGGGAAAUGGCUGCCGAGGAGGUAGGUCGAGAUUUCGGUCUUGGCUGUUAUAUCUUGGUGGUUUGUUGUCGUGGUUGAGACUGAGGUGCCUACAAUGUGCUUUUGAGUGUACCGGGUUCUCAUUUGGUGGACUGUUUGGAUAGCUUGCUAUGCUUGUGGUUUUUUCAUCGGGUGAUUGAGUCUGGUGGUAACUUGUUGCUGUUCGGGACUUUGA